rnacentral:rRNA from 1 species
AUACGGAGGGUGCAAGCGUUGUCCGGAUUUAUUGGGUUUAAAGGGUGUGUAGGCGGUGUAUUAAGUCAGUGGUGAAAGCCUGCGGCUCAACCGUAGAACUGCCAUUGAUACUGACACACUUGAGUAUGGACGAGGUAGGCGGAAUUUAUGGUGUAGCGGUGAAAUGCAUAGAUACCAUAAAGAACACCGAUAGCGAAGGCAGCUUACUAGGCCAUAGCUGACGCUGAGGCACGAAAGCGUGGGGAGCGAACAGGAUUAGAAACCCUAGUAGUCC